rnacentral:rRNA from 1 species
CAGCCGCCACGGGAAUACGUAGGGUGCGAGCGUUAAUCGGAAUUACUGGGCGUAAAGCGUGCGCAGGCGGUUUUGUAAGACAGGCGUGAAAUCCCCGGGCUCAACCUGGGAAUGGCGCUUGUGACUGCAAAGCUAGAGUGCGGCAGAGGGGGAUGGAAUUCCGCGUGUAGCAGUGAAAUGCGUAGAUAUGCGGAGGAACACCGAUGGCGAAGGCAAUCCCCUGGGCCUGCACUGACGCUCAUGCACGAAAGCGUGGGGAGCAAACAGGAUUAGAUACCCGAGUAGUCCCUGUCUCUUAUAC